rnacentral:rRNA from 1 species
AACUUUGGACAAUGGGCGCAAGCCUGAUCCAGCCAGGCCGCGUUAGUGAAGAAGGCCUUCGGUAUGUAAAUAUCUUUCGGUCGGAAAGAAAUCGCGCAGGCUAAUACACGCCGCGGAUGACGGUACCGUCAGAAGAAGCACCGGCUAACUACGUGCCAGCAGCCGCGGUAAUAGGUAGGGUGCGAGCGCUAAUGGGAAUUACUGGGCGUAAAGCGUGCGCAGGCGGUUGAUUAAGACAGGCGUGAAAUCCCCGGGCUUAACCUGGGCACUGCGCUUGUAACUGGUCAGCUAGAGUACGGCAGAGGGGGGUGGAAUUCCACGUGUAGCAGUGAAAUGCGUAGAGAUGUGGAGGAACACCGAUGGCGAAGGCAGCCCCCUGGGCCGAUACUGACGCUCAUGCACGAAAGCGUGGGUAGCAAACAGG